UCUGGUUUGUACCAUUUCAGGUUUUAAGCUAUGCUUCUCCAAUCAGCUUUCCGUUCUCUCUUCUUCACCAAAACCACGUUCCGUUAUCUCCGUUUCUUUUGCUCUUCACAACUCCAUCAAACGCCGUCACUUCCACAAUUAGAACCUUCAAACGACGCCGAUUUAAUAUCCCAACUACUCCUUCAACACCACAACCCAUUUCACGCUAUGGAAUCUUCUCUUCAGCUCAACGGCAUUUCCUUCACUCCUUUCCUUAUCAACCAAACACUCCUUCGCUUAAAACAUAAUUCCAAAAUUGCCCUCUCCUUUUUCCACUAUUCCCAAAAUUACCCUCUUGAUACCACUGCUUUUAAUAUCCUUAUUGAUAUUCUGUGUAAAGUGCACCAGUUUGAUGUUGCGUGGCAACUUAUUAUACAAAUGGAAACGAAAUCUGUGAAAAUUAAUUUUACUACUUUUUAUUUGUUGAUACGUAGGCUUAUUGGGUCCGGGUUGACCCGACAAGCUAUUCGGGCAUUUAGUGAAAUGCAUGUGUUUCUUGAUGAAAGUGAAGAUGUGGUUUGGAAAUGUUAUUUUUGUUAUUUACUUGAUACACUUUGUAAAUAUGGGUAUGUUAAGGUUGCUACUGAAGUGUUUAAUAAAGAGAAAUGGAGAUUAGAGUUGAACUGUAAGGUUUAUACUAUUUUGAUUUAUGGUUGGUGUAAAUUGAAGAAUAUUGAUAGGGCUAAGAGGUUUUUUGAUGAAAUGUUGGAUAAAGGAAUUGAUCCAAAUGUUGUUAGUUAUAAUGUGCUGUUACAUGGGAUUUGUAGACGAGCGAGUUUGCAUCCGGAUGGGAGGUUUGAGAAGGUUAUUAGGGAUGCAGAGAAGGUGUUCGAUGAAAUGUCUGAGAGAGGUGUGGAACCGGAUGUCACUAGUUACUCUAUACUCUUACAUGUGUAUAGUCGGGCUCAUAAACCCGAAUUGGCGCUUGAGAAAUUAAGGGUUAUGAGACGUAAAGGGAUAUGUCCGAAUAUCGUGACGUAUACGUCGGUUAUUAAGUGUCUUUGUUCUUGUGGUAGGAUUGAAGAUGCGGAGUUGUUACUCGAGCAAAUGGUUUCGAAUGGGGUGACGCCUACGUCCGUGACAUAUAAUUGUUUCUUUAAAGAGUUUAAAGGGAGGAAGGAUGUCGAUGGUGCGUUGAGGUUGUACGGGAAAAUGAAGGAGGGUUCGUUUUGUGAACCUAGCGUGAGUACGUUUAAUAUAUUGUUGGGGAUGUUGUUGAAAUCGGGUCGAAUAGGGGUGGCGAGAGAUAUUUGGGACGAUAUGAAGGAUUCUGGAGCAGGGCCUGAUUUGGAUUCAUAUACAUUGUUGAUUCAUGAAUUUUGUGAGAAGCAAAAAUGGAAAACGGCAUGUGAAUUCUUUAUGGAAAUGAUAGAAAAAGGAUUUCUUCCACAGAAGGUGACGUUUGAGACACUUUAUAGAGGCUUAAUACAAGCCAAUAUGCUGAGAACUUGGAGAAGGUUAAAGAAAAGACUUGAUGAGGAAUCAAUAACUUUUGGUUCAGAAUUUGAAAAUUAUCACCUCAAAACUUAUAGAAGGUAAUCUGAUGAAGUUUUUGAAAGAGGUACAAGGCUGAACUAUCUGCUGUCAAGCUAAAGGGCUAACUGAUAUUUCCGGAUUCGUGGGGAGCUGUUUAUAAUUGAUGAUGUAACAGACAUCAAGGACAGAAGUAAGAUGCUUAUGCUUCAGUUCAUGCUGUAAUGGGCGAUGCCAGGCACAUUGAAGGGAGCACUCUUAAUCUCAAGGAGGACCAUUCGCCCAACCAAGUAAUGGAAUGAUUCAGAUUGAAAGUAUGUUCAAGCAAAUGAUGGGCAAUAAUUCCCAAACGGAUGCUCAAAUGGCUUCUCGCAGGACUUCCAUCGGCAAUCUUGAAGUGCAAAUGGGCCAAAUUUAUCAAGCCCUCAACUCGAGACCAAAGGGUCCUCUACCAAGUAAUAUGGGGGCUAACCCUAAAGGUAUAGAGGAGAGAAAAUGGAGAACACUGGGGUAAUGUCAACAAAAUAUAAAGAAAAAUUGUGGUGAGGAAUUUGGUUGAUGAGAAGGAUAAGAAAGUGAAGGAGUUGCAGGAUGACAUUGCUGCAGUCAUUUUUACCCCACAAAGCAAAAUGGGCAAGAUGCUAAUGGCUAAAUGUAGGACACUGCAGGAGGAAAUUGAAGAGAUCGGAACCAGGCUAAUGAAGAAGUCUCAGAAUGCUGAUCUCAAAAGUGAAUUUGAAGGUUACUGUUACCUUCUCAAAAAAAAAAAAAAAAAAAAAGUGAAUUUGAAGGUUAAUUUUCUCUCCAGUUGCUUUAGAAAAUAUCUCUCUUUUCCUUUUGAUUGGGCUAGGAUUUCUUGCUUGCUGCUAGUCUUAUUGGGAUCGACUGGUUGGUUUGGUCCAACAGGUAUUCUGGAUAUGAUCCAUGUGGUGAUAAUAUUGGUGAGGAUAUUUUAAUUUGCCUUAAAUAUUGAAACUGCUGGUAAUAUUUGCAUAUACGCCCCCUGGUUCAUCAGACAUUACAUGAGUAAAGACGGUCACUAUUAGAUUAUAUUUUUGUUGCUUUUUGGUAGGAUCUUUUUGCUUCAGUAAGCAGUUGACAAGGAAUUAUACUAACAUUAAUUAAUGUUUUUUCCAUGAAAAUGUAUUACCUUGAAAGAUCGUUUCCAUGAUGAUUUUCUAUUGUUCGGUUGGAUACGAAAAUAGCAGAUACUAUAUUGUAUGAGAUAUACGGUAGGAUAGUAGAAUAAUGUGUUCAUAAUAUUGGUAAUUUGGUAAAAAUCAUAAUGAACCUGUUUAAUUAUAGAUGAAAAUUCACUGAUAGCAUAAAAAGCUCUUUACACUAUAAGUAUAUAUAACUUAAAUAGAUUAAAAACAAGUAUGAUUGAAUAAAAAUUGGUAAGUCUGUAAAAGGAAAUGAAUUCCACUUCAUUAUACUAAACGCAGAUGAAAAUCUAGUUUGAUUGCGCAUUUAAAUUGUGGGGGAAGGGAGAGGAACUAAUAGAUAAAACAAGAUAUAGAAAUUUCAAUUAAAAAACAAUCCUCUCAAAAUACAAAAAUUAAGCUCCCUUAACAAGAUCCUCCAAAAAAAUCCAAGUGAAUGUAUAAUCCAAGUACAGGCAAGGAAAUGGGCCAUCAUCAUCAUCCUAAGCUAAAGAAAGAGAUAGCAAUUCAUACAUAUAGAAGCAAAUUAAAACAAAUGAUGCAGGAUGAAAAGAGAGUUCUACAUUAGAAAGCAGAGUAGACCCCAUCCUAAGACCAAGCUUUCCACAACCAUUGUUGACAACUUUAGGCCCUCCACUCCACUCUGCAAAUUAAACAUGCUUCCAAAUUAAUAUCAAUAAAUGACCAUAAGAAUAAUUGCUUGUAAGAAGAGUUACUAAUCAAAUAGGAUUACCGACUUAUAAAAGUAAAGAAUGUAGGACAAAACGCUAACAAAAUGCAAUAUAAAAUAGUGUUGGAUUACAUAUCCGAUUUUUUUUUUCCUAAUCCUGGUAAAAAAAAAAAAAAAUCCAAAAAACAAGAUCUUUGUUAAACACAUCAGAUCUAUACUUAAUCAAUGUGAAGUACAAUCAACGAUUGUAAGUGCAGCAAGUGAGACAAUAAAAAACUUGGCACAUACAUAAUGAUCCAAAACAAUUCAAAAUUUAAAAAUGAUUUACUUAUUACACUGAUGAAGUGUACUUGUAUUAGAUUAUAUCUGCAUCUUUAUCUAGGUAUCGAAUCUAUCUAUUUUGUUACAGAUAAUUACUCAAUAUACUAAAUUGUCUAAUUUAGAAAUAUAUUUAAUUAGAUCUAGCUAGCAUAUUUAAACUGAACGUAUUAUGAAGCAUGCAAUCAGCAGUGGCGGAUCUAGCAUGCUAGGUGGGGGUUCCAUUGAGCCCCAACUUUCGACGCGGAGCAUAAAUUUAUGUGUAAAAAUUUAUUAAAACUGCAAUAAAUAGUAGACAUGAACCCAUAACUUUUAAAAUACGACGGGUUUACACUAAGAAUAAGGUUGAACCCAUAGAGUUUAAAUCCUGGAUCCGCCUCUGGCAAUCAAACCAUAAAUCCAACAUACGGGAUCCUAACUAACUAGUAUGUAUGUACUUGUAUCUUUAAUUUUAAAUUAUGGAAUCACCUCAACUUUAAAUGAUUAACAAAUAAUAUAGAAAAGUGCAUGCAUGGAAUUAUGAAUGUACCUGAUCAGUAGCUGCAGGAGUUAAAGCUCCAAGACUCGGGGAUAGGGCUAGGGCUGGAGAACCAGCGGGAGGUAAGGGAGGACUCGAGCCCAAAGGAGAUGGUGCUGGAGAAGUUAAUUUCUUCGCAGGAGCGGGAGCAGGAGUUGAUACAACUGGCGCAGGUGAAGGUGGAGAGUUCACUGGCGGAGGAGGAGUAGCUGGUGCUGGUGGUGGAGAAGUUACAACAGGAGGUGGUGAAGCAGGCGGCGUUUGGGUGUUAACUGGAGGAGGAGAACCAGUAGGUGUUGGUGGAGCUUGGGUAGGCGCAGGUGGUGCUUGGUUAGUGGGUGUGGGAGGAGCUUGGGUGGUGGGUGUUGGUG